ensembl:lncRNA
AAACCAUUAAAUUCUUCUCUGCCUCCUCUCUUUCUGUCUCUCUCUCUUCUGUCUCCUCUCUUUUCCCUCUUCUCGGUCUACUUUCUCUCUCUCUCUCUCUCUUCUGUCUCCUUUCUCCUCUACUUUCUCUCUCUCUCUUCUCUGUCUCCUCUCUUCUCUACUUUCUCUCUUUCUUCUGUCUCCUUUCUCUACUCUCUCCUCUGUCUACUUUCUCUUCCUCACUUUUCUGUCUCCUUUCUCUCCUCUCUGCUGCUCUUUCCUCUCUCCUCUGUCUACUCUCUCUCUCUCUCUCUCCUGUGUCUCCUCCCUCUUCUCUGUCCUCUUUCUCCUUUCUUCUCUCUCUCCUCUGUCUCCUUUCUCCUCUGUCUACUCUCUCUCUCUCUCCCUCCUGUGUCUCCUCCCUCUUCUCUGUCCUCUUUCUCUUUUCUUCUCUCUCUUCUCUGUCUCCUCUCUCCUCUGUCUACUCUCUCUCUCUCUCCCUCCUGUGUCUCCUCCCUCUUCUCUGUCCUCUUUCUCCUUUCUUCUCUCUCUUCUCUGUCUCCUUUCUCCUCUGUCUACUCUCUCUCUCUCUCUCUCCUGUGUCUCCUCCCUCUUCUCUGUCCUCUUUCUCCUUUCUUCUCUCUCUUCUCUGUCUCCUUUCUCCUCUGUCUACUCUCUCUCUCUCUCCCUCCUGUGUCUCCUCCCUCUUCUCUGUCCUCUUUCUCUUUUCUUCUCUCUCUUCUCUGUCUCCUCUCUCCUCUGUCUACUCUCUCUCUCCCUCCUGUGUCUCCUCCCUCUUCUGUCCUCUUUCUCUUUCUUCUCUCUCUUCUCUGUCUCCUCUCUCCUCUGUCUACUCUCUCUCUCUCUCCUGUGUCUCCUCCCUCUUCUCUGUCCUCUUUCUCUUUUCUUCUCUCUCUUCUCUGUCUCCUUUCUCCUCUGUCUACUCUCUCUCUCCCUCCUGUGUCUCCUCCCUCUUCUCUGUCCUCUUUCUCUUUUCUUCUCUCUCUUCUCUGUCUCCUCUCUCCUCUGUCUACUCUCUCUCUCUCUCCUGUGUCUCCUCCCUCUUCUGUCCUCUUUCUCUUUUCUUCUCUCUCUUCUCUGUCUCCUUUCUCCUCUGUCUACUCUCUCUCUCCCUCCUGUGUCUCCUCCCUCUUCUCUGUCCUCUUUCUCUUUUCUUCUCUCUCUUCUCUGUCUCCUCUCUCCUCUGUCUACUCUCUCUCUCUCUCCUGUGUCUCCUCCCUCUUCUCUGUCCUCUUUCUCCUUUCUUCUCUCUCUUCUCUGUCUCCUUUCUCCUCUGUCUACUCUCUCUCUCUCUCUCUCCCUCCUGUGUCUCCUCCCUCUUCUCUGUCCUCUUUCUCCUUUCUUCUUUCUCUUCUCUGUCUACUUUCUCUCCUUGCUCCUGUCCUCCCUUCUCUGUCUCCUCUCUCCUCCCUGUCGCCUCUUUCCUCUCUUCUCUCUGUCUACUUUUUCCCAAUAGUUACUCAGGUCUUGUGGCUUUUGUGGUAUUUCCAAUUUUGGCAGGCAUUAUACUCAUGUUCUGCUUUCCUCAGCACUGGCUUUAAGAGUGCCUCUGUAACUAGAUCUUGUAGGGAAAGUAUAAUCAAAUUAAUGAGUCUGUCUCUGGUACAGGCCAGGGAACAAGUGGAAGGGGCCAGCGGUAAGGACAGGAUUCUCCUAAGAAGCCCCAUAGGGGCCGGUAGUAAGUCUUGUAAAGGUUUUGCCAAUCAAUCUUUAAUAAACUGUGGCAGCUGA